AGUAACGCGUGGAUAACCUGCCUCACACUGGGGGAUAACAGUUAGAAAUGACUGCUAAUACCGCAUAAGCGCACAGUGCCGCAUGGUACGGUGUGAAAAACUCCGGUGGUGUGAGAUGGAUCCGCGUCUGAUUAGCCAGUUGGCGGGGUAACGGCCCACCAAAGCGACGAUCAGUAGCCGACCUGAGAGGGUGACCGGCCACAUUGGGACUGAGACACGGCCCAA
rnacentral:rRNA from 1 species